rnacentral:tRNA from 1 species
GGGGAGGUGCGCAAAUGUGCGAGCAAUCAUCAUUCAGUGAGGGUUCGACUCCCUCCUUCUCCGCCA